rnacentral:rRNA from 1 species
ACAGCAGCCGCCGCGGUAACACGUAGGUGGCAAGCGUUAAUCGGAAUUACUGGGCGUAAAGCGUGCGCAGGCGGUUCGUUAAGACAGAUGUGAAAUCCCCGGGCUUAACCUGGGAACUGCAUUUGUGACUGGCGGGCUAGAGUAUGGCAGAGGGGGGUAGAAUUCCACGUGUGGCAGUGAAAUGCGUAGAGAUGUGGAGGAAUACCGAUGGCGAAGGCAGCCCCCUGGGCCAAUACUGACGCUCAUGCACGAAAGCGUGGGGAGCAAACAGGAUUAGAUACCCCUGUAGUCCCUGUCUCUUAUAC